rnacentral:lncRNA from 1 species
GCAGAACAGGUUUUUCUCAGGCCAGCCAGGCUGCCAUGAACUUCUGGUCCCUUCAAGCAGUAAACACCACCAGCCACGGGUUUCAAUCUGCACUCUGGCGCCUCUUCCUCGUUUUCUUUCAAACUGCGGGUUUGAAAAAUUGGAACGCUCGGACUGGAGAGGAGGCUCGGAAUUAAGAGCACUCGCUGCUCUUGCAAAUGAAGGAAGGAAACUCUAGUCUGAAAAGCUCUAAUCUUUGGAGUGCAUCAAAGUAUAAUGUCUCCACCCAGGGCCAGAGGUGCUCUAUCCUUUUGAACAAACUUUUAAGGAGUGGAAAAGCUGAAACCUAACUAGGGAAACGGGAAGCGGGACCCAGAGCUUCGGUGGCCUUGAAGAACUCGAUCCUGGGAUGUGCUGAGAUCUCCACUGGUGCCUACAAAGAAACACAAAUUCAUCAUAUCACAGUUGCAGCUGGCUUACAAAACCAGAGAUGCUGUUUCUCCAUCUUCUAAGGACCCCUAUGCUCAAGGCUGAGAACAACUGAGACUCCAAGGUCAUGUGACUUAGGAUUAUACUACUAAUUAUAGGCUGGAGACUGAGUUCAGACAUGCUCAUCAAUGCCUGGACCCUGCUUCCCAAGCUUCUCUGCGUCUGUGGGAAUUAUUGAGACCCUGCCUUAGCUCUUGCCAAGACCUGUGGGUGCAGAGCAGGGGACAGGGUGGAUUAUUCUGCUCUUUGAAAUGUCUAUUGGGUCAAACCUAUCUGGAAACUCAGAAGCCAAGCCAGGGAGUUUUGAACAUGGGGGUUAUAACAGUAUGGUGGGUAGGGAGGCAGCCAAUCGUCCAGCAUCUGGAAUGAAGCCACACCACACUCUUCCCUGUGCCCCCAGCCCUCAGGCUUGGAAGAGCUCCCUGCCCCACUCCCUCCCUUCCUCCCUUCCUUCCUCUGUCCCCUCCACUAAUGAAUGCUAUCACCUCUCCUGCCUCCCUUCUUAUACCAAAAAUCUCAUCUCCUCCUAGACCUAUAUACUAUAGAAACAAAACAAACAAGCAACAAUAAAACCCUAAAUUAACACAUAAUAGGUCACCCAGGCAAGCAUGAAUAA